CUCUACCCCGAGCCUGCAUCACGCCUGCAUCGAGCAGGCACGGGACAUCGCAUCGGCUACACCAAUGGCCUCAACCAUUGGUGGUAAGAACCAAUCUCUCUCUCUUAUAUUGUUUAGGUGGUCUAAUUACUUGGCAUAAGAUCCAGUCAUAUGAAUCCUACGGGAUUACAUCUAACAAUGGUAUAUUGAGCCGUUUAAGCCUAGAUUAGAUCCCUAAGAUCGAUCUGGUUCUUGAUUAUUGGUGUUUUAAUGCCACGGGACAGUGCUAGUUUUCCCAAGAAUGAUUAAACCAUGUUCUGUUAAUGUGUUUAUGUCACGUUUCCGCGCUACGUUUUGAUCUCUAGGCACUGUUUUCGGAUCAUGACUAAGAAAAUAGAAGGAGGGGAGUCAAAUGUUUCAAAGAAAUCAUGCCAAAAUCCCAAAUCAGAGGCAAAGUUUUUGUCUCACCUAUUAACGUCGGCUUUCGGAUCCGCGCGGCCGUCGCCGUGCGUGCAUCCAUGGCCGAAACGCCGCUGUCCUCCGGGACGGCGUGCGGGAGGAUGCGUGGGGCGGCUGCAUCGCAUGGCUCUGCGCCUUGCACGUCGCCGUCGCCGUCGCCGAUUAGAUGCACCACCGGAGCCACGCUCGACGGAGGAGCGCGCGGGACGAAGUCCCCUGCACGCUGCUCCGGCGAGCGCAGCUGCCGCGGCGCCACACCGUGCGCAGCUCCGGCGAGCGAGGCUGCGAGCCGCAAAGGCUGCUGCCGCGGCGCUGAACCCGCCGUCACUGCCGCGUGUUGCGCGACGCGAGGGAAUGGGGAAUGGGGCUAGGGUUCCACCCCUGUCCCGGUUUUCCCUCUGCUGGGAUCGAUCCGAGCCGCUCGCUCGAUCGGACGGUCCUGGCAGAGCGGUGCCCAGACAGGCCUUCGGCCGCUCAACGGGCCGGUAGCGCGCAUGGGCUUCGGCGGCCAGACAGGCCUUCGGCCGCCUAACGAGCCGGUUGCGCGCAUAGGCUUCGGCCCGAGUUGUUUUAGGCCACAAUAAGAUUCUGCGCAUUUUCUGUUUUACUCAGUGCAUUUUCUAAAGUUGUUCUAAAAAUGUUUUUUGCACUGUUGUAAAUAGAAAAUUAACAGAAGAAUAAUGUUGACAAAUUAUGUUUAAGCUUUCUGAAAAAAAUGGAACCAACGAGAAAUUUUAUUUGGAAAUUUUUUAUGAAAAUAAUGUCUAUGUCAUUUAUGGCAUAUUAAUGUGAUGUUUUCUUUUUGUAAUACAACCAACGUUGUUUAACAAUUCUGAUUCAUAUAUAUUUUAUUUUAUGUUAAUUCCUUAUUAUUUUCUGCCCAACGGUGAUAUAUUUUGGAAUUAAAUUUUUGCAUGAAAAUUGAUCAACCAACGUAGGUUAAUUUUUCUGCAAUUUAAUUUAGUUAUGAUGUUCUUUCCCUUUACUUAUGAUAUUUUGAAAUUAUGACAGCUUCCGGUCCUCGUGGUUUCGAAAACAUCGAGCCACUAACAGGAAACAACUUCCAAACAUGGAAGGACUCGUUGCUAUUGCACUUAGGUUGGCAUGAGGUUGACCUCGCGCUUAGAGAAAGUAAACCAGAGGAACCUCCAAAGGGUGCCACUGGGUAUGCUGAGCUUAAG
rnacentral:lncRNA from 1 species